GGGCAGCAUGAUCAAAAGAGACAGCUUCUAACUCAAAGGUGAAGGUCGGGGAAGAGAACAGGUAUCUGGAAAGUUCUUUGUAAGAAGACGGAAGUCUACGAGAACAAUUCGUGAAAUAAAACUAUUAUAUAAUGUAGUUGAGUUGAGAUUUUAAACAUCUAUUUUGAGACUUCUUAUGGCUCCCCAUAUAAAUGAGGAAAGAUGGACCGGAAUCAAACAGAGAGCUGGAGUCAUAAAGCAACAUAGAUUGUUCAGUUUGAAUAAUUGCCACAUCGCUGAACAAAAGAAUAAUAAAAUAUAUGGUUGAUUUUUCCUAGUAAGAGAACUUGCCAAAGCCUAAUAAAAUACUCUUGAUAUCUCGCUUCAUGAAGUAACCGAAGGGAAAUGUCUCUGUGUUUUCCUGCAUUUCAUGUCCCUGAGAUAUGGUAUUGCCAAGACAUGCAAACAGCACUCCCUGGACUGGAUUUAGGGGUGACAGGCUGGGCCUGGGAUGCUGGUUACUCUCUACAGGCAGUAAGGAGAGCACUGGACUUGGAAUCAGGACACCCCAAUGCAGUCCCCACUCUGCUGCUUCCUAGCUGCGAGAUUUUAGACAGGCCACUUAACUUUCCUGAGCCCCAGUUACUUUAUGUGUAAGACGGGGCUUCACAGGUUGGCUGCAAGGGGUAAAUGAAAUACAGGUUACAUCUAUCCAUUGUGUCUCUUGAUUAACUAUUGAGUGAAUGGAUCUUCUUGUGCAACAAUACAAGGUCAUACUCUAAGUUAAGCACGAUUGCAAAAUAUGUGAUGACAGGUACAUGGAAGUCUUCGGCUGUCCUCCUACCUUCUCACCCUGCCUCAGUCUGUCCUCACUUGUGGCAGAUCUGGCUUUAUUAAACACAGAUGGAUUGUGUCACUCUCCUAAGUGAUACCCUUCAGUGCCCUCUCAUCACCGUUCAAGGGAAACCCAAGGCAUCUUAUGUUCUAGUGGGUGAUCUGUGCCCACCUCUCUGGCUGACCUCUGGCGUCUCCCACCCAGGUUAGGGAGGCUCAUCCUCUCUCUCUUCCCUCUCUGUGUAUUUGCAUUGCUCGCUCAUGUCGAGAGGCCCUUGCUCCCACUUCCUUACCCUGCAGAUUCCUUCCUAGUUCUUCACAUUCAGCGCAAGUCUUAAGAUCUCCCUCUGUGCUUUCCAUGGUGUGUCAAUGUCUACCUUCCCAAGAAACUUCUCUUCCUGAAAGCUUAUUGUCCAUGUGGUUGAAAUCAAGAACUAUGGUUGAUACGGAAAUUGAUCCUGGAGUGGGUUUCAGGAAACAGACUCUCAGGGAAAUACAAUGAACUGGGAAUAGAUUAUCUAACCUAGAUUAGGUAGAACAAAGCAAAAUCCUAUUUAAAAUCCAGAGUGCGAGUCUAAUAGCUCAUGGCACCCAGUGGUGAACGAGUGAAUUCAGUGCACCUCCGUUCACCUGGUGUCCACUGCUCACAACGCACGGUCUCAGAUCAUCACUGCCAUGGAGAACAGGGAGGAUCUGAGGGGGUCAGGGCCCCUGAAGUAAGAGACAGAAUGACAGGCUCACAUCCACACGUGCUUGUUCCAAGGUAAAAAAGAAAACUCCAAGAGCUUUCUGGUGGCCAUGUAAAAUGAUUCCUUUAUAUGGCCUCAAAGCAGAGAUUUAGAAAAAAAGAACCCACAAAGUUCGAUCCUGUGGGUUUUGAAUCAUAGUGUUAGCUGAGCUCACAGUGCCUUCAGGUCUCUGAGAGAGAGCAGGGCCCAGGGAACCGGAGCAGCUGGUUUGGGGGUCUCCGGAUACCUGGACAUCCCCGCUCCCGUGAGCUUCCCUUGCACUUGGAUGUGGCUUCUCCUUCUUGCAACAGUCACUGCUGCUCCGUGACCUCCAGGAGCUCCUUGCCAGGGGAAGCCACUUCCCCCAUCUCUGUUAGGAUGCCAGAGUCUUAUCUGUUCUUCAAGCCCAAUUCUUGGGAGUGGAUUUUAGCCUAUCAUUUUUAAGUGCCAGCAUUCCUCAAGUUCCAUGCUUCAGAGUAACUUGUAUUUGUGUGGGAUUCUGAAGGCCUCCUUGAGUGAGGUUCAUUGAAUCUCUGGUUUAGAACCCUCAUAAUUUUCACUACUAAAAUAAAAUGCAUUAUUGAACUAACAAAUCAUGAGUACUAAAGAUAUACAACUAAAAGCAAUUUUUAAGUAAACAAAAAUUCUUAAGUAUACUUGGCACUUGCCUCAUCAAUCUUCAUUUUUAUUCAAUAACCUCUCUAUUUUGUGUUUCUCUUCUUGUUUUUACUGGUUUUUAUUUUAAAGGAAAUGUAAACACAUUACAAAAAAAAUAAAGAAAACAUGACCCAUUAUUUUAUCAUUGUUACCAUUUUGGCCUAUUUUCUUUGGGGCUUUUUCAUUUGCUUCUCCCCCUAACCAUUAUGGUAGACAUCGUGAUGUGUAGAGCUUUUUAAAUUUAAUACACUGCACACAUUUUAAUCUCCUUGUGUGUCUGUGGCCUCUUUUUCAAUGGUUGCACAACAUUGGAAAGAGUACAGUUACUAACUCCUGAUUAUGAAUUAUUGAGGAAGGCAACUCUGCUUUAUUAUACCCAGCUACUGGUAGGGUUUCAAUGACCAUUUGUUAAAUUAAAUUGAAAUUCCUUGCCCAGUCUAAGUUUGCAAUGUUUUAAACACCAUUCCAACACAUAUCUUUCCAGGUAUGGUUUGCCCACAUUUUUUACUUAAGAUGGGUUCCCACAAGUGGGGUUACUGGUCACGAGGUAUGACCAUGUUUAUGCCUCAACGUGUGUUGCCAAAUUACUUUCCUUCUGGAAGGGCUGUACUGACGGACAGCAAACCCCUGCAGUGCAUGAGAUCACCGGUUUCACUCCACCCCUGUCAGCACUCAUGCGAUGGAAGGAAGUCCAGCCUCUCAUUGUGAUUUCAGUGUGAACGUAUUCUCAUUUGUGUGUUUAGUGAUGGCGUCUGCUCAUUUGUGAAUUCACUUACAUAAGCAGUUUGAGUAAACCCUACAUAGACGGAGGAUAUUAACCUCUAUGAACUGCUAGUAUUGUCCGCUUUUGUUCCCCUCCUCCCCCUAGUUCUGGGAUUCGGGCGGAGCGCCUUGCCUCCCCUUUGUUGACAAACCUGUUAGCCCUCUUCUGAAAGCACCUUGAGCUCUGAAAAUUGGCGACCUUGUGAAAUGCUCCUGUCACCUCGUUUUAGCUGCCAGCAUUAACUGACCCAACGAGGACAACUUAUUCAUAACUACUGUAGCUAAUCCAGGAAA